rnacentral:rRNA from 1 species
UCGAACGCGAAAGGCCCCUUCGGGGGCCGAGUAGAGUGGCGCACGGGUGAGUAACACGUAGGUAAUCUACCUCUGGGUGGGGAAUAACAGCCGGAAACGGCUGCUAAUACCGCAUAAUGCAGCGGCACCACAUGGUGACAGUUGUUAAAGCGGGGGAUCGUAAGACCUCGCGCCUAGAGAUGAGCCUGCGGCGGAUUAGCUAGUUGGCAGGGUAACGGCCUACCAAGGCAACGAUCCGUAGCCGGCCUGAGAGGGCGGACGGCCACACUGGCACUGACAUACGGGCCAGACUCCUACGGGAGGCAGCAGUCGGGAAUUUUGGGCAAUGGGCGAAAGCCUGGCCCAGCAACGCCGCGUGAAGGAUGAAGCUUUUCGGAGUGUAAACUUCAUAAGAAUGGGACGAAUAAGGAGGGGUUAACACCCCCUUUGAUGACGGUACCAUUUGUAAGCUCCGGCUAACUCCGUGCCAGCAGCCGCGGUAAUACGGGGGGAGCAAGCGUUGUUCGGAUUUACUGGGCGUAAAGGGCGCGUAGGCGGCGCAACAAGUCACUUGUGUAAUCUCCGGGCUUAACCCGGAGCGGCCAAGUGAUACUGUCGUGCUAGAGUGCGGAAGGGGCUACUGGAAUUCUCGGUGUAGCGGUGAAAUGCGUAGAUAUCGAGAGGAACACCUGCGGCGAAGGCGGGUAGCUGGGCCGACACUGACGCUGAGGCGCGAAAGCCAGGGGAGCGAACGGGAUUAGAU